rnacentral:pre_miRNA from 1 species
AUAAGAAUCCCCUUGGGUUCUUAUUAAAAUGCAGAUUCUGAUUCAGCAGAUCUGGGGGUGGGGCCUCAAAGUCUGCAUUUCCAAAAAGCUCCCAGGUGAUGCAACU